rnacentral:lncRNA from 1 species
AUAUGUACAUAACCACAAGGAAGAAAAAAGAGAUUAUGUGGUGUGGUUGUGGGGAGAAGCUUGCUUACACUAAUUGAUAUAAUGAGCCCCAUCUUAAUUGUGAAAAAAAUUCUGGGCAGGAGAUUCUGCACUGUUUGCUGUCCUGAUGCCCAGUGCCAUCAUGAAUCUCAGCAUAUAGAAAGUCUUCAGUCAAAGGUGAUAAUCCAGAAAGAUCCGACAAGCAACUGAAAGAGUCAGAUGCAAAUAUUUGCACCCAACCAAUGGUCAGAAGCUGCUGAUCCUUGUGGUUGACUUAGGGAAAAGCGGGAAGAAACUGCGGAGGAAUACAUGGGAGAAUAUAGAUGGAGGAAAGAGAAUGAGAAUAUUAUGUCAUUCAUUCAGUCACUCGCUUACAGUGGAGGAAACACAGUGACAAACGAGCAAUGUGGGAAGUGGAAAUGCUUUCACUUCCACAGCACUAUUCAUCAUCAAAGGAAGACAUCAGGACAGGAACUCAAAUGAGGCAGGAACGUAGAGGAAAAAGUUGAUGCAAGACCAGAGUGAGGCUGCUUGCUGCCUUGCUCUCUCCAUGGCUUACUUGGGCUUCCUUUUUAUCAAAUGCAGGAUCACCAACCCAGGGAUGACACUACCUAAAAUAGGCUGAGCAGUCCCACAUCAAACUUAAGAAAAUGCUGUACAGCCCUACCUACAACCCAAUUUUAUGGAGGUAUUUUCUCUAUUGAGGUUCCCUUCUCUCACAGGACUUUAACUUGUAUCAAGUUGACAAAACUAUCCAACCAUCAUAUGACCACAAUAUUCAUCUCAGUUCAGGCUUUCUCAUUGAAUCUUCUGCCUGCCUUCCUCAUUCCAUAAUGUAUAAUUUUACCCCAUGGGUCAUUUAUUUAAACACAUCAUCUACAUAAAUUUACAAUAAUCACCUUUAUUCCUCAUGUUAUAAUCUAUGAUCAAAGGAACUCAUUUAUUUUUAAUUUUUUAUUUAUUUUUCUCUCAUACAAUACAUUCUGACUGCAACUUCUCCUAUCUUCUUCUUCCGAGACCCUCACCAAUUCCCCUCUACCCCAUAUGUACACAUCCGCAUCCACCCUCAGAGACAUCAACUAAAGAAGGCACAAUAAGAUGUUAAUAAUAAAAGGCACAAGCCCUCACACCAAGGCUGAAUAAGGUAAACCCAUAGGAGGAAAAGUCAGAGGUACCCCUACUCUCAUUCUCAAGAGUCCAGCCAAAAUACCAAGCCAACAACUUUAAUCUAUAUGUAGAGUACCUUGCUCAGACCCAUGCAGACUUUCUUAUUGCCCCUUCAGUCUCUGUAAAACUCAUGAGACCUUCUUAGUUGGUCUCAAUUAAGCUUAACUUAGCAAGCUUUCUCAUUGUUUGUCAGAGGAAAUGACUACACAGUUCCACCAAGUAGCCAUGUUACUAACUUUCUCUGUAUUAUUAUCUUUACUGGAAAGCUCUCCACUGAAAGUGUUCAUAAUUGAUCGGUCAAACACACUGUCAGUGUUCACAAUUCUCCCAUGCAUAGGAUGCUACAAAAUGAAUUUUAACAAAUAGCAUGCUAAAAUGCUUAAAGGCCAGAUACUUCCUUUUGAAAAAAAAUAAUUAAGUCUGGAUUUAUGAAUAUUUAAUUCCAGAAGUCAUGUAAUUUUCCAAUCUAAGUAUUUUCAUUCUUUUGUAUAACCAAAGUCUCAGUACAUGAAAAUGUCAGUCAGUGAAGCAUUUCAAACUAGAAAGUCAGGCAAUCACAGACCUUCCCCUAAGGGAUAAUACUACUUUAUGCACUUUUUCAAUGUUAUAAAUUUUACUCAAAAUGUCUAAGACUUUGAAGAAGUUCUAUGAUUCUACCAGUAUUUUUUAAUGUAUUAUCAGAAUGAAGAAUGAUUUAUGGC